AAUAGAUACCCAGGUAGUCCACGUCGUAAACGAUGAGUGCUAAGUGUUAGAGGGUUUCCGCCCUUUAGUGCUGAAGUUAACGCAUUAAGCACUCCGCCUGGGGAGUACGGCCGCAAGGCUGAAACUCAAAGGAAUUGACGGGGGCCCGCACAAGCGGUGGAGCAUGUGGUUUAAUUCGAAGCAACGCGAAGAACCUUACCAGGUCUUGACAUCCUCUGACAACCCUAGAGAUAGGGCUUCUCCUUCGGGAGCAGAGUGACAGGUGGUGCAUGGUUGUCGUCAGCUCGUGUCGUGAGAUGUUGGGUUAAGUCCCGCAACGAGCGCAACCCUUGAUCUUAGUUGCCAUCAUUCAGUUGGGCACUCUAAGGUGACUGCCGGUGACAAACCGGAGGAAGGUGGGGAUGACGUCAAAUCAUCAUGCCCCUUAUGACCUGGGCUACACACGUGCUACAAUGGACGGUACAAAGAGCUGCAAGACCGCGAGGUGGAGCUAAUCUCAUAAAAACCGUUCUCAGUUCGGA
rnacentral:rRNA from 1 species